AUUGAACGCUGGCGGCAGGCCUAACACAUGCAAGUCGAGCGGCAGCGGGAAAGUAGCUUGCUACUUUUGCCGGCGAGCGGCGGACGGGUGAGUAAUGCCUGGGAAAUUGCCCAGUCGAGGGGGAUAACAGUUGGAAACGACUGCUAAUACCGCAUACGCCCUACGGGGGAAAGCAGGGGACCUUCUGGCCUUGCGCGAUUGGAUAUGCCCAGGUGGGAUUAGCUAGUUGGUGAGGUAAUGGCUCACCAAGGCGACGAUCCCUAGCUGGUCUGAGAGGAUGAUCAGCCACACUGGAACUGAGACACGGUCCAGAGUCCUACGGGAGGCAGCAGUGGGGAAUAUUGCACAAUGGGGGAAACCCUGAUGCAGCCAUGCCGCGUGUGUGAAGAAGGCCUUCGGGUUGUAAAGCACUAUCAGCGAGGAGGAAAGGUCAGUAGCUAAUAUCUGCUGGCUGUGACGUUACUCGCAGAAGAAGCACCGGCUAACUCCGUGCCAGCAGCCGCGGUAAUAC
rnacentral:rRNA from 1 species